rnacentral:rRNA from 1 species
CGGUGGAGUAUGUGGUUUAAUUCGAUGCAACGCGAAGAACCUUACCUGGUCUUGACAUCCCAGAAAUCCCUUGGAAACUUGGGAGUGCUUCCAUUAGGAAGAAUCUGGAGACAGGUGCUGCAUGGCUGUCGUCAGCUCGCGUCGUGAGAUGUUGGGUUAAGUCCCGCAACGAGCGCAACCCUUGCCAUUAGUUGUCAGCGAGUCAUGUCGGAUACUCUAAUGGGACUGCCGGUGACGAGCCGGAGGAAGGUGGGAUGACGUCAAGUCAGCAUGGCCUUUAUGUCCAGGGCCACACACGUGCUACAAUGGACGGUACAGAGGGACGCAAGACCGCAAGGUGGAGCAAAUCCUCAAAACCGUUCUCAGUUCGGAUUGCAGGCUGCAAUUCGCCUGCAUGAAGCUGGAAUUGCUAGUAAUCGCGGAUCAGCCAUGCCGCGGUGAAUACGUUCCCGGGCCUU